GACGUAGGGGGCCAGCGUUGUUCGGAAUCACUGGGCGUAAAGGGUGCGUAGGCGGGUCUUUAAGUCAGGGGUGAAAUCCUGGAGCUCAACUCCAGAACUGCCUUUGAUACUGAAGAUCUUGAGUUCGGGAGAGGUGAGUGGAACUGCGAGUGUAGAGGUGAAAUUCGUAGAUAUUCGCAAGAACACCAGUGGCGAAGGCGGCUCACUGGCCCGAUACUGACGCUGAGGCACGAAAGCGUGGGGAGCAAACAGGG
rnacentral:rRNA from 1 species